rnacentral:rRNA from 1 species
UACGAAAGGUGCAAGCGUUAAUCGGAAUUACUGGGCGUAAAGCGCGCGUAGGCGGCUUUUUAAGUCGGAUGUGAAAGCCCCGGGCUCAACCUGGGAACUGCACCCGAUACUGGCCGACUUGAGUGCGGGAGAGGGAGGUAGAAUUCCAUGUGUAGCGGUGAAAUGCGUAGAUAUAUGGAGGAAUACCAGUGGCGAAGGCGGCCUCCUGGCUCGACACUGACACUGAGGUGCGAAAGCGUGGGGAGCAAACAGG